rnacentral:rRNA from 1 species
GACCAAUGUCUGGCGGCGUGCUUAACACAUGCAAGUCGAACGGUAAGGCUCCAGCUUGCUGGGGUACACGAGUGGCGAACGGGUGAGUAACACGUGGGUGACCUGCCCUGCACUUCGGGAUAAGCCUGGGAAACUGGGUCUAAUACCGGAUAGGACCGCACCGUGAGGGUGUGGUGGAAAGUUUUUUCGGUGUGGGAUGGGCCCGCGGCCUAUCAGCUUGUUGGUGGGGUAAUGGCCUACCAAGGCGGCGACGGGUAGCCGGCCUGAGAGGGUGGACGGCCACAUUGGGACUGAGACACGGCCCAGACUCCUACGGGAGGCAGCAGUGGGGAAUAUUGCACAAUGGGCGGAAGCCUGAUGCAGCGACGCCGCGUGGGGGAUGACGGCCUUCGGGUUGUAAACUCCUUUCACCAUCGACGAAGGGUUUCUGACGGUAGAUGGAGAAGAAGCACCGGCUAACUACGUGCCAGCAGCCGCGGUAAUACGUAGGGUGCGAGCGUUGUCCGGAAUUACUGGGCGUAAAGAGCUCGUAGGUGGUUUGUCGCGUCGUCUGUGAAAUUCCGGGGCUUAACUCCGGGCGUGCAGGCGAUACGGGCAUAACUUGAGUACUGUAGGGGAGACUGGAAUUCCUGGUGUAGCGGUGAAAUGCGCAGAUAUCAGGAGGAACACCGGUGGCGAAGGCGGGUCUCUGGGCAGUAACUGACGCUGAGGAGCGAAAGCAUGGGGAGCGAACAGGAUUAGAUACCCUGGUAGUCCAUGCCGUAAACGGUGGGCGCUAGGUGUGGGUUUCCUUCCACGGGAUCCGUGCCGUAGCUAACGCAUUAAGCGCCCCGCCUGGGGAGUACGGCCGCAAGGCUAAAACUCAAAGGAAUUGACGGGGACCCGCACAAGCGGUGGAGCAUGUGGUUUAAUUCGAAGCAACGCGAAGAACCUUACCAAAUCUUGACAUCCUUUGACAACUCUAGAGAUAGAGCUUUCCUCUUCGGGGGACAAAGUGACAGGUGGUGCAUGGUUGUCGUCAGCUCGUGUCGUGAGAUGUUGGGUUAAGUCCCGCAACGAGCGCAACCCUUAAGCUUAGUUGCCAUCAUUAAGUUGGGUACUCUAAGUUGACUGCCGGUGACAAACCGGAGGAAGGUGGGGAUGACGUCAAAUCAUCAUGCCCCUUAUGAUUUGGGCUACACACGUGCUACAAUGGACAAUACAAAGGGCAGCGAAACCGCGAGGUCAAGCAAAUCCCAUAAAGUUGUUCUCAGUUCGGAUUGUAGUCUGCAACUCGACUACAUGAAGCUGGAAUCGCUAGUAAUCGUAGAUCAGCAUGCUACGGUGAAUACGUUCCCGGGUCU